AGAGGGUUCACCCAGGAUCAGAGGAUGGACACACAGGAAGGUUCAGGCUGAAUCCCAGGUAAUUCUUCCUGAGCUCAGG
ensembl:miRNA MIR9804 microRNA mir-9804